rnacentral:miRNA from 1 species
AGCAUUAUGUAUGUGAGCU